AGAGUCUCCUCGCGAUGAGUUCCCGCGCUUGUAAAUUAAUGUCAAGGCUCACAAGCCUCCUGUCAUGUGUUCCUGCGUCCUUUAAUAUUCAAGGCUCACAAGCCUCUUGUCAUGAACGAAAUUGAAUAAUGUUAGAAAACUUAAAUAAUGUCUUAAUUGUGACAUUUACAGGAUGCGGGAACACAUCAUGACAAGAGGCUUGUGAGCCUUGAAUAUUAAAGGACGCAGGAACACAUGACAGGAGGCUUGUGAGCCUUGACAUUAAUUUACAAGCGCGGGAACUCAUCGCGAGGAGACUCUGGCCAGCUGUGGUUACAGCGACACACGGCGGCAUCCUAAUGCUGCUGCUGCUGCUGCUGCUGAUCCUCCUCCUCCAUUCUGCCCAAGCGGUUCCCGCAACACACGUCAUCGCUAUUUUCACCUUCAAUUUUUAACUAAAUAAAGCAAAAAACAGCAUAUG